UCCGGUGCAUCCGAAAUGCUGUUCUAUGGAGGACGCUGGGUAAUGUUUACAUUUUUCUUCUGCGAGUGCGAAUAUUAAGUAAUUUGGAAGCUGUUUUCUCAUCAUCGCAAUGUUCAUUAGAGGCGCACUGUUUGCUGCUACAUGCGCUACCGUCAUCGUCUCGGAAUGGUAAAAAUAGAUGCCGUAAGAAAAAAGAAAGAGUCACAAACGUGUCGUGUGACGGCAAACUUGUGGGGCGCAAUUUCGGCAACAUAAUAUUACAGCGGGCUGUGAUGCAAUUUUAUGUAAUCAUGGUCGAAAUUUAAUGGAAAACCGCUUUAUUUGCUGGGAUUAUGUGCGUGCGAAUGUUCCUGUGACGCGGUCCGGAUGUUGAGCGGCGGUGGCAAUGCCGGGAUGCUCUCAGGACAGGGCGCAUCGGGUAUCGAAUCUCGCUCGGAUCUUCCUUCCGCACUCCAGGAGCAGGAAGCCGAAUUCCUCUGCUGAAUUGCUGUACUGCAUCGUCAUUGGCAACCGGAUGUAAUUUUGCUUCGAUAAAUCAGGGCAAGCAUAGCAGCCUUUGAAAAAUCGCUUCCAAUUCGUAUUUAACCUUAACCUCUUGGCUGCUGUAAGAUCCCUUGCACCGGAAACCGAAGUUGUGGAUCAGUUUUCUUUGUGGUACAUUUAAACGCAGUUCAAUAAGUACCGUGCACAAGUUUACAUGAGUAUCGCCUGUUUCUUCAAAUUCCCAUAGUGAAAGGUUGACUUUUGGAAAGCACGUGGUCGUAGGAACUUGAUAUAUCCUAUCAGAUUCUUCAGCUCUACACAAAAAUGCUACCUUAUUGCAAUUUACGUAGUCUCAACACUCAUAAGGAUCGAUUUGUAAGUUUUUAUUAACCGGGUUGGAAUUGGUUUACUACAUUUGCUCCCGUAGCCCUCAAGGAUGUGUUGGAUGUAUGUGCACGCCUGAAUAUAUGCAAUGUGUCAUUAGGUGCGCAGCAAAGUUAUGAUGUUUUUCCUUAAAAGUUUAUUUAAU